GACGAACGCUGGCGGCAGGCUUAACACAUGCAAGUCGAACGAGUGGCGGACGGGUGAGUAAUGCUUGGGAAUCUAGCUUAUGGAGGGGGAUAACUACGGGAAACUGUAGCUAAUACCGCGUACCAUAGGAUGAGCCCAAGUGGGAUUAGGUAGUUGGUGAGGUAAAGGCUCACCAAGCCGACGAUCUCUAGCUGGUCUGAGAGGAUGACCAGCCACACUGGUACUGAGAAACGGCCCAGACUCCUACGGGAUGCAGCAGUGGGGAAUAUUGCGCAAUGGGGGCAACCUGACGCAGCCAUGCCGCGUGAAUGAAGAAGGCCUUCGGGUUGUAAAGUUCUUUCGGUAGCGAGGCGUUAACUACAGAAGAAGCACCGGCUAACUCCGUGCCAGCCGCCGCGGUAAUAC
rnacentral:rRNA from 1 species